rnacentral:rRNA from 1 species
GACGAACGCUGGCGGCGUGCUUAACACAUGCAAGUCGAACGGAAAGGCCCGGCUUUUGUGGGGUGCUCGUGUGGCGAACGGGUGAGUAACACGUGUGUAUCCUGCCCUUGACUUUGGGGUAACUUCAGGAAACUGGGUCGAAUACCGGAUAGGAGCUCCUGCUGCGUGGGGGUGGAUGGAGAGUGUCGGCGGUUGUGGAUGGACUCGCUGCUUAUCAGCUGGUUUGGGAGGUAGUGGCUUACCAAGGCUUUGACGGGUAGCCGGCCUGAGAGGGUUACCGGCGACAUUGGGACUGAGAUACGGAGCAGACUGCUACGGGAGGCAGCAGUGGGGAAUAUUACACAAUGGGCGCACGCCAGAUGCAGCGACGCCGCGUGCGGAAUGAUGGCCUUCGGGUUGUAAACAGAUUUCGCAUGUGACGAAGCGAGAGUGACGGUACUGGGUCAAGAAGCACCGGCUAACUACGUG